UACGUAGGUGGCAAGCGUUAUCCGGAUUUAUUGGGCGUAAAGGGAACGCAGGCGGUCUCUUAAGUCUGAUGUGAAAGCCUUCGGCUUAACCGGAGUAGUGCAUUGGAAACUGGGAGACUUGAGUGCAGAAGAGGAGAGUGGAACUCCAUGUGUAGCGGUGAAAUGCGUAGAUAUAUGGAAGAACACCAGUGGCGAAAGCGGCUCUCUGGUCUGUAACUGACGCUGAGGUUCGAAAGCGUGGGUAGCAAACAGG
rnacentral:rRNA from 1 species